rnacentral:rRNA from 1 species
UACGGAGGGGGCUAGCGUUGUUCGGAACUACUGGGCGUAAAGCGCACGUAGGCGGCGCAGCAAGUCAGGGGUGAAAUCCCGGGGCUCAACCCCGGAACUGCCUCUGAAACUGCAGUGCUAGAAUCUUGGAGAGGCGAGUGGAAUUCCGAGUGUAGAGGUGAAAUUCGUAGAUAUUCGGAAGAACACCAGUGGCGAAGGCGACUCGCUGGACAAGUAUUGACGCUGAGGUGCGAAAGCGUGGGGAGCAAACGGG